rnacentral:lncRNA from 1 species
AAAGAAAAUCAUCAACCUCCUCCUCCUACAUCACUAUUCCAUCAUUCUGUGAUUCACCUAUCCAAAUGAGUACAAUAUUUACAACAAUAUAUACACCAUCUCCGUCUCUGACACCUCCAUUGACACCCAUAGAAACCAUUGCUGAUACUGAACCUGUGACCUUACCAAUAGAACCAAUAGCAAAGAGGACUAGAAGCCAGACAACGAAAUAAUUAGUUUUCAACAAUGAUAAUUGUAAACUCUCAAAAAAUAUUUUGCA